CACCCCCAGCUCUACGAACACAAUAGAGAAGAAAAAAUUGUCUUUUAAGAUAAUUUCCUCCAAAUCCUUCUCAGUUUCAACUGCAUGAAGACAAAAUGCAGGCUGUCAAUUCGAUGAACAGAUUGUGAUUAGGCUGGGGGAGGCUAGAAUUGUAAUAAUUUUAUAGCUACAAUAAUAAAGACCCAGAAGUGGGCAAGACCUAUGCAAGUUCACAGACUAGGUUAAAGAAAAGGCCAGCGUUGAAGAUGUGGGUGAUUUCCAAGAAGGAUAAUCGACUUCGAGACAAGUCAAGAACACGAUCUGGGAAUCAGCUCCCUUGACCUAGAGGCCGGUGUCCUCCCAUGGAUGGCCUUUAAAACAACUGGCUGGCAUAUAAUAAGAGGGGCACCUGUUGGAAGACUCCGGAGAAGGAAGACGCAUCUGAAAUUUGGUGCCAUGACUCGAAUCGGGGGACCUCCCUUGGAAGAUCAAUCCCCUGUCCUCCUGCUCUUUACUCCAUGAGAAAGAUCCACCUACAACCUCUGGUCCUCAGGCCAACCAGCCCAAGGAACAUCUCACCAAUUUUAUAUCCGGUACCCACUGGAAAUUGGACUCUCCAACUCACCCGGCAGCCACUCCCAGAGCCACUGGAACUCUGGCCCAACGCUCUCUGACUGACUCCUUCCCAGAUCAUCUCAGCUUAGCGGCUGAAGAUUGAUGCUGCCCAAUCACCUCAGAAGCUUCCUGGACCAUCACAUACGCUUUGGGUAACUCUUACAGUGGAGGGGUAAGGGAUGUGCUUCAGGUGCAAAGAAUUUCAUUGACUGGAAUACUGUUAGAGUCAUAUUAUCAUCAUCAGUUUAUGCAUGGCCCACUUUGUAUCAUUUUAUUUCUAUUUUUAUUUAUUUUUACUUUAUUUAUUUCCCUCUUUAUCACCCUUCCCAAUCCCAUCUCCUUUCAUGAUGGAUAUGCACUCUUUUUUUUGAGACAGAAUUUCACGCUUGUUGCCCAGGCUGCAGUGCAAUGAUGCAAUCUUGGCUCACUGCAACCUCCGCCUCCCAGGUUCAAGCGAUUCUCCUGUCUUAGCCUCCAGAGUAGCUGGGAUUACAGGCAUCCACCACCAUGCAUGGCUAAUUUUUUGUAUUUUUAAUAGAGACAGGGUUUCACCAUGUUGGCCAGGCUGGUCUCAAACUCCUGACCUCAGGUGAUCCACCCGCCUUGGCCUCCCAAAGUGCUG
ensembl:lncRNA novel transcript